rnacentral:tRNA from 1 species
GCACGGAUGGCCGAGUGGUCUAAGGCGCCAGACUCAAGCAAUAUAAUGCUUCACACGAGAGUUCAAAGUGUGAUACGAUUUAGAAUGGGUGUUCUGGUAUCGUUAUCGAUGCGUGGGUUCGAAUCCCACUUCGUGCA